rnacentral:rRNA from 1 species
UACGUAGGGUGCGAGCGUUAAUCGGAAUUACUGGGCGUAAAGCGUGCGCAGGCGGUUAUAUAAGACAGAGGUGAAAUCCCCGGGCUCAACCUGGGAACUGCCUUUGUGACUGUAUAGCUUGAGUGCGGCAGAGGGGGAUGGAAUUCCGCGUGUAGCAGUGAAAUGCGUAGAUAUGCGGAGGAACACCGAUGGCGAAGGCAGCUCGCUGGGACGGUACUGACGCUGAGACGCGAAAGCGUGGGGAGCAAACAGG